CGGCAGCGCGGAAGGCCAGCCUGCAGAGAGGCUGGGCCCAGCGCCCUGACUGACCCAGCCCCGCCACGUCCAAGGUUCCCGCCCUCUGGAGGAAGCCGCGCAAUCACUCCGGGGGCGGGGAGAGACAGACAACUGAGAGGAAGGAGGUACCACGGGCACUCUCUCGCGAGAGGGCCGCAGAGCCGCCUUUGACGGGGGCGUGUACCUGGAGAGCAACGGAGCCUAUGAGGUUGGUCCUAUUUUUACUCUCACUUAUCCCUACUUACCAGAUGAGGAUCCUGAGGCUCAGAAAAACUCUUGACAAAAUUCUCAGGGAAAACUCUUCAGCUCUGGAUGUCUCCCUUUUUGUGGAUCAAACACAAAGGGCAUCAUUCUAAAAUAUAUACAGAACCAUAAAAGCCCCAAAUAGCCAAAGCAACCCUGAGCAAAAAGAACAAGGCUGGAAGCAUCACACUACCAGACUUCAAAAUUUACUACAAAGCUCUAAUACCUAAAAUAACAUGGUACUGGCAUUAAAAAAAAAAAAAAAAUAGGCACAUAGACCACCAAUGAAACAGUAUAGAGAAUCUAGAUAUACCAACUCAUCUUUAACAAAGGUGCCAAGAACAUACAAUGAGGAAACGAUGGUCUUUUCAAUAAAUGGUGUGGGGGAAAGCUAGAUAACUAUAUGCAGAAGAAUGAAACAAGAUUCCUCUCUCUCGCUAUACACAAAAAUCAAAUCAAAAUGGAUUAAAGGCUUAAAUCUAAGACCUGAAACUACAAAACUAGAAGAACACACUGGAGAAGUGCUCCAGGACCUUGGUCUGGGAAAAGAUUUUUUUGUUUAAGACCUCAAAAGCACAGACAACAAAGCAAAAACAGACAAAUGAGAUUACAUUAAGCUAAAAAGUUUCUGCACAGCAAAGGAAACACUCAACAGAGUGGGGGAGACAACCCACAGAAUGAGAGAAAACAUUUUCAAACUAUCCAUCCGACAAGGGAUUAAUGACCAGAAUAAAGAGACCAAACAAUUUAAGCCAAAAACAAAACAAACAAACACACAAAAAAAACAAAAGCCAAAUAAUCUAAAAAGUGGGCAGGUUGGGUGGGGUGGCUCAAGCCUAUAAUCCCAGCACUUUGGGAGGCCAAGGCAGGCAGGUCAAGAGAUCGAGACCAUCCUGGCCAACAUGGUGAAACCCCAUCUCUACUGAAAAUACAAAAAAAAUUAGCCGGGUGUGGUGGCAUGUGCCUGUAGUCCCAGCUACUUGGGAAGCUGAGGCAGUGAGAAUCGCUUGAACCUGGGAGGCAGAGGUUGCAGUGAACCAAGAUCACACAACUGCACUCCAGCCUGAUGACAGAGCGAGACUCCAUCUUGAAAAAAAAAAAAAAAAAAGUGGGCAAAAGAUCCAAACAGACAUUUCUCAAAGGAAGACAUAAAAAUGGCCAACAGGUAUAUGAAAAAAUGCUCAACAUUACUAAUCAUUAGAGAAAUGCAAAUUAAAACAACAUGUUAUUUCACCCCAGUUAAAAUGGCUUGUAUUAAGAAAACAGAUAAUAACAGAUGCUAGUGAGGAUGUGGAGAAAAGAGAACCCUCAUACACUGUUGGUAGAAAUGUAAACUAGUACAACCACUAUGAAGAACAGUAUGGAAGUUCUUCAAAAAACUAAAAAUAGAAUUACCAUAUGAUCCAGCAAUUCCACUACUGAAUAUGUAUCCAAAAGAAAGGAAAUCCGUAUAUCAAAAAGAUAUCUGCACUCCCAUGUUUAUUGCAGCAUUGUUCACAAUAGCCAAGAUAUGGAAUUAACCUAAGUGCCCAUCAAUGGGUGAAUGGAUAAAGUGUGGUAUGUAUGCACAAUGAAAUAUUAAUCAGCCAUAAAAAAUAAUGAAACCCUCUCAUUUGCAGCAACAUGGAUGAUACUGGCGACCACUAUGUUAAAUAAGCCAAGUACAUAAAGACAAAUAUUGCAUGUUGUCAGUCAUACAUGGGAGCUAAAAAUGUGGAUUUCAUGAUGACACAGAGUACAUUGGUGGUUACCAGAAGCCAGAAAGGAGGGGAUGGAGUAGGGGAUGAAGGGGGAAAAAGGAUAUAAGUGUACUUAUUACCACUGAACUGUACACUUAAAAUGGUAAAGAUGGUAUGUUAUGUAUUACCUCAGUUUACAAAAGAAAAAACAAAUGGCAUCAACGUUAAUAAGUGUAAAAGUUGUACUAGGGAUAAAUCCGCCAUUUAAAAGGGAAAUUAGAAAUCUGAAAUAAUGAGUGCAGUUAGACUCUGAAACCCUUGAAGUCCCCAAAAGUCUCAUUCAGAACUGGUCCCAAAAUGAAUACGUACUUUUGUAUCAUUGUCUAAUUAAAGCUGCUUUUUUCAAGUAUUAGUUUGCUUCAAAAUUAAUCUUUUUAUUUGUACUAUUAUUAUGAGUGUUAUUUCCUAUUCUUCAGGUAUAUUUUUUGGAGAACAGUGUUAGUGAAAAGAGCUUGACUGUUAGACAGUCUUGAGUUAAAAUUCACGUUAGCUGUGACGAAGAAACUAUUACAUUAAAUUUUAAUUACUUAAUUUUAUUAUCUACAAUUAAGGAUAAUAAUAUCACCAAAGGUUGUGGAGAGGAUUUAAUGGGAUGACACAUAAAACUAGGACAUAGAGGCAUCUAGCAAAUACACACUUCCUUCCCUUCUCCCUUGUUAUAUACUUAUCCACACGGGCUAGGAUUUCUUUGAAGGAACCAUUUCUAUCUUAGCCAGUGUUCUAUCUGAGGUAUUUGAUGCUCUCUGCUUUUUUCUUUCACACCCCACUUUCAGUCUCUCAGUAUGUACUGUGAGCUCUGCUUUCAGACUAGAUUCGUAACUCAGUGAUUUCCUACUCCUCCACAACCACCACCCUGGUCCAGGCCAUCAUCAUUUUUCAUCUGGACUACUGUAGUCACUUCCUAACUGGACUCCCAACUUCCACUCUUGCUGCUUGCCAUUUAUUGUUCACAUAGCAGCCAAAGUUAUUCUUUCAUAAAUUAGAUCAUGUCACUUCUCUGCUCAAAACCUUCCAAGAGCUCUCCACCACUUUUAGACUAAAUAUCUGAAGUCCUUACCAAAUCCUACUAGAUCUAUGUGAUUUGACCCCAGCCUAUCAUUCGGACUUCAGACCUCUCUCCUGCUACCUUACUGUGCUCCAGCAGCACUGGCCUCCUUGCUGUUCUUUUUUUUUUUUUUUUUUUUUUUUGAGAUGGAGUUUUGCUCUUGUUGCCCAGGCUGGGGUGCAAUGCUGUGAUCUUGGCUCACUACAACUUCCGCCUUCCAGGUUCAAGCAAUUCUCCUGCCUCAGCCACCCAAGUAACUGGGAUUACAGGCGCCUGCCACCACACUCAGCCAAUUUUUUGUAUUUUUAGCAGAGAUGAGGUUUCACCAUGUUGGCCAGGCUGGUCUCGAACUCCUGACCUCAGGUGAUCCUCCUGCCUUGGCCUCCCAAAGUGUUGGGAUUACAGGCAUGAGCCACCGCUCCCAGCCCUCCUUCCUGUUCUUUGAUGGUGCCAAGCAUACUCCUGCCUUGGGGCCUUUACAUCUGCUGUUCCCUCUGCCUGGAAUGCUCUUUCUAGAUUUUUAAUGCCUUACUUUCUCAUUUUCUAACUCAGAGAGGCUGAACCUAGGUACCUCAUUUUAAACAGAUACCCCUGCAAGGGUUUCUUCCUCUCCUUAUGCUUAUUUUCCUCAUAGCACUUACCCCACAUUGAUAUUGAGAUUUUUUUUCUUUCUUUUCUUUCUUUUUCUCUUUCUUUCUUUUUCUUUCUCUUUCCUUCCUUCCUUCCUUUCAUUCUUUUCUUUUUCCUUCCUUCCUUCCAUUCUUUUCUCUCUCCUUCCUUCCUUCUCCCUUCCCUCCCCUCCCCUCCCCUCAUAUAGGGGUCUCACUAUGUUGCCCAGGCUCCUGGACUCAAGUGAUCUUCCCACCUUAGCCUCCCAAGUAGCUGGGAUUAUAGGCACACACCAGCACACCUGACUCUAUGUAGUCCCACCUGAAAUGUAAGUUUCCCUCUGAAAUACAGGUUCAAUACUUUGUUUUGUUCACUUUGUAUCAUCAGCAUUUACAUCUGCCAGGCAUUCAAAAAUAUUCGUUGAAUAAGUAAGUGAGCAAACUUACCUGCUUCCACAGCCAUCCUUUCCCCUCUCCCUAGAGAUGUUUUUCUUCCUGUCUGAGAUUAUAAUGUCUCCCCUGUGUCCUGCCUCCUCAGCAUUCCUUAAUAUUGCCUAUCUUCCACAUUCAGUUCUCCCUGGCUACAUUUUUUGUUUUCUGGCAAGCAUACAUCUCUCCCAUCUUAAAUUAAAACAAAAAAAGAGAAAGAAAAUUCUCUCUGGGCAUCCCCUGUCAGCUGCCAGUCUCUGUCUCUCCUGCUCUUAACAAACUUUUGAAAUAUUUAUUUAUACUCUUUGCAUUGCCUCAAUUCUCUUUCAUUCAAGUUUCUCCAAACCCAUAGAAACUGUUCACUCCUGCUUUAAACUUUCUUUCCUGAGCUCUUCCAAGAUAUUACUCUCUUAUUGUUUUUUUAAUCUUACUUCCCUGAUUGCUACUUUUCCUGUCCCUCCCUCAAAUUUUGUAUAUCACAGCGUUCUGAUACAAGUUCUUCAUGUUCUCCAGAUUCUUCCUUGGCAAUCUUACUACAUCCAUUGCUUUAGUUACCACCUAAACCUGGAAGCCCAGCUCAGAUUUCUCUGUACUAAGCUCAUGACUUAUUUGACCUAGUGUCUACUUGAUAUCCACCUUGAUUUCCACAAGCACCUCAAAAUAAAGAUGCCCUCUUCCAUCUCCAAACUUGAUUCUCCUCCAGUGUUACUUAUUUUAGUGAGUGGUAGCAUCAUCCAGUUGCUCAAGUAGAAAACAUGGAUAUUGUCCUUGAUUUAUCCUUCGCCUUCAGCCCCCUUCCCCCAUUUAGCCAACCAUUGGCUUCCAUUAAUUCUAUUACAGUGAGAGAAAUUGUAUCCCCCCAGAAAGAUAUGUGAAAGUCCCAGCCCCCACUGCUUAUGAAUGUGAUCUUACUUAGGGUCUUUGUAGAUGUAAUUCAGGAUCUUGAGAGGUGAUUAUCCCGGAUUAGGGAGGGCCCUAAAUCCAAUGACUGAUGUCCUUAAACAUGAAAGGAGAGGGAGAUGUGAGACAAAGACACAGGGGAGAAUGCCAUGUGAAGAUCCCUAUAAGGCUGGAGAGAGAGAUUGGAGUGAUGCUGCUACAGGCCAAAGAACACCAAGAAUUGCCAACCCCAUUGACAGCCUGAUUUCAGACUUCUGACCUCCAAAACUGUAAGAGAAUAAAUUCUGCUUUUUUAAGUCAUGAGGUUUGUAGUAAUCUGUUAUGGUAGUCCCAGGAAACAAAUUUUCUACCUUCUAAAUAGCUCUGAAAUCCAUCUAUGUUUCUCUACCAACACUGCUGCUAACUAGUUCAGAUCAUGAUUAAUCUUCUGCCUCAUCUCCCUGCUACUAGUCUCAGCCCAUCUUUCUAAAAUGCAUGAAAUUCAUUCCACUAUUUAAAAUCUGUUGAGUAGUUUGCCAGUGACUUGGAUUAAGUCUAAAUGCCUAGUAUCAUGGUUUAUGGGACUUUAUAAUUUGGCUUCUGCCUACUUGUGUAGCCUUCUUUUCCCACUCACCCUCAAUUCUGUUUUUUGUUUUGUUUUUUGUUUGUUUUUGAGACAGAGUUUCUAUUGUUGCCCAGGCUGAAGUGCAAUGGUGCGAUCUCGGCUCACCAGAUCAAGGUUCAAGCGCUUCUCCUCCCUCGGCCUCCCAGGUUCAAGCGUUUCUCCUGCCUCAGCCUCCCAAAUAGCUGGGAUUACAGGCGCAUGCCACCACGCCCGGCUAAUUUUGUAUUUUUAGUAGAGACGGGGUUUCUCCAUGUUAGUCAGGCUGGUCUCAAACUCCCGACCUCAGGUGAUCCGCCCGCCUCAGCCUCCCAAAGUCUUGGGAUUGCAGGCGUUAGCCACUGUGCCCGGCCCCCACUCACCCUCAAUUCUAUGCUACAGGCAUAGUAAUAAUUUCUGAUAUUUCUCAGCAUUUAUUCUGUGCCAGCCACUAUUCUAGGGGCUAAAUUGCACAACAACCCUGUAAGAUAGAAAACAGGUUUCUUUCAAUGUCUCAGCCUUUCUUUCUCUCGCUUCCAGGAUUUUGCACACGCUGUUCACACUGCUCUCUGCCUGAAACACUCUACUUUCUUUUCCCUUGCUCUUUGACCCUCUCUCAACUGGCUAAUUCAUACUAACACUUUAGGCCCCAGUUUAUUCAAUACUUCCUCCAAGAAGCGUUCCUCACUUCCUAAAUCUGGGUAUAUGUGCCACCCUCACUGCCUAUAUUCCCAUUACACCCUGAACUCCCCCAUCAGAAUACUGUUUACUGGUCUAUACCUCACACUGUAUUUUAUGUUUUCUUUGGGGAAGGGGUGUAUCUCUAUUACCAUUGUAACUCCAUUCCCAGAAUCGAGCACAAUGCCUGGCAUAGAAGAGAUGCUCAAUCACUAUAUGUUGAGUAAAUGAAAAAACCUUAAACAAAGGUUGCUAAUAGCAUUAUGUCUCUAAUACCAGCCAGGGCAGAAAGAAAUGCAUCCCAGACCUACUUGCCAACUGUCCUCUUCCUCACAAUUCUGAUGCCUCUGCCUGGACCAGUCCUGAAACAUCUUUUCAUAGGAAUUCCAUGAGAUCUCUAAGGUGGAUGGAAAGCCGAUUUCCAGUCUUUAUGAUAACGCCGAUGUUCCACUUGGGAAAGAUACUGUACAACAAUGAAAGUAGCCCUUUCUUUUGUCUUUCAAAGAAUGUAUUUUUAACAAACAGCCUCUGUGUGAUCCUUUUGACCACACAAUUUGUAGAGUUAACGCUGAAAUUUUCAUUAGCAACAAUGAAAGCACACACAGGCACAAUAUUAAUAUAGAUUAAUAUCAGCCUAUUUUGGUCAGAAAGGCUCAUUUAAAUGUUUAAGAGACAGAAGUCCCAAAUUGUAGUAAUUUCUUCCACUAGCAGGAGGAAGCUCAGAAUUAGUUUUUCUACAACACUAGAGGAAUACUACUCAAAAAUAAAAAGGAAUUAACCAUUGAUACAUGCAACAACACAGAUGAAUCUCAAAGUAAUUGUGCUGAAAGAAACCAGACCCAGAAAAAGAUAAAUUCUAUAUGAUCUCAUUUAUAUAAGACUCUAGGAAAUGCAAACUAAUCUACACAUACAGAAAACUGAGGGCAGGUACUGAGAAGGGUAGGAGGGGGGCGUUACAGAGAGGCAUGAGGAAACUUUUUGGGGUGAUAGAUAUGUUUACUACUUUGAUUGUAAGGAUGAGGUCGCAACUCUGUGCGUGUCAGUGGUAUAUUUUAAUAUGAACGGCUUAUUUUAUGUAAAUUCUACCCCUAUAAAGCUGUUUUUUUUAAAAAAAAAAACUUCUCUUUGAGAGACAUCACCUUUGUCUUUUAAACCAUCUAAUGUUGAAUCUAAAAGUUCAGUGUAAAGUUUAAUAAAAUCAGAGUGUGUAUGUGUCUUAAUUUCCAGGACAUAUAAUCAUAGUGAUUAAGCCAAAAGUGCUUAUAUGAUUACCUAUAAACUAUCAUAGUUAAAUGACUAAAUACCCUGCAUAAGGUAAAAUGAUUAUUUUAUUCCUAUAGAUUGAAAUUGCCCAACUUUUUAUUAGAGAAUAAUAGAUUAGAGGGCAUGUUGGCUCAUACCUGUAAGCCCAAUGCUUUGGGAGGCUGAAGCGGGAGGAUCCCUUGAGGCCAGGAGUUGAAGAUCAGCUUGGGCAACAUAGCAAGACCACAUCUCUACAAAAAAAUUUAAAAUAAAAUGUUUAUCCAAGCAUAGUGGCACUCACUCACCUGUAGUACUAGCUGCUGAGGAAGCUGAGGCCUGGAGUUCAAACUGCACAACGCUGCACUUCAACCUAUGUGACAAAGUGAGAUCCUAUCUCUAAAAUAAUUAAUUCAGUUUUUAUAAUUAGGGAACAUUUAAAUUCAGAUUAUAAGUAAAAAAUGGAAUAAACAGUCCUGUUACCUGAUAUGGUUUGGAUCUCCAUCCCUACCCAAAUCUUAUGUUGAAAUGUAAUCCCCAAUGCUGGAGGUGGGGCCUGGUGGGAGAUGAUUGGAUCAUGGUGGUGGUUUCUCAUGGUUUAACACCAUCGUCCCCUGGUGCUGUCGCCGUGAUGAUGAAUUCUCACGAGAUCUGGUUGGUUUAAAAGUGUGUGGCACCUCCCCCUUCUCUCUUGCUCCUGCUCCUACCAUGUGAGAUGCCUUGGUCCCCCUUUGCCUUCCGCCAUGAUUCAGAGUUCUCUGAGGCCUCCCCAGAAGCAGAUGCUGCCAUGCUUUCUGUACAGCCUGCAGAACCGUAAGCCAAUUAAACCUCUUUUCUUAUACAUUACCCAGUGUCAGAUAUUUCUUUAUAGCAGUGUGAGAAUGGAUUAAUACACUACGUCAUGCAAAAUGUAAAAACAGGCAACUCACUGAGAGUAAACCUAAUCAACUUGUUCAUUUAGAUAUAAACUGUAGAGACGACACUGCCAUCUAGUUGUUGAAUACUGAGUAUACUGUUGAAACAUUCUUGACAAUGUUCUAUUUCUCUUUUGUAGACUUACAAGGAACACACAGAAGCCCCUAACCAAUUACAUCUCCUUCCUAGGAGUGUGAAUGUGACUGCCAUAGUGCAGCCCAUGCUGCCCCUGGUAAUUAUAUGCCUCAACCCAAGCAGGUGAUUAUGUAUCCUGUGACUACCUCAUGCUCAAGGCUCUUCCAUAUUACACAAACACACACACUCAUACUCAAAAGCAAAACAAAAAUAAAACAAUCUGCUUGAUCCCUGCCCUAUAGAGAUUAGUCUAGUCAGGGAAACAUACAACUAAGCAUUCGAAUACAGUGUAGUGGGUGCUACGAGAGCAGAAGUACAGAAAAUAUGUAAGCUCCAACAAGCACCAGCAGGAGUUAAAGGUUUAGGGAAAAUUAGUGGGAAGUUUAUCUAAAAUGAAAGCAGUGGAUAAGAGGAGAUGAGAUUCUGCAGUGUCCUGUAAGCUAUUUUAUUCUAGAAGCAGUGGAAAGCUUUGAACUUUUUGAAAGACCUUAAGCAAGGAAAGGAAGUAAUUAGAUUUGUAUGUCAGAAAUAAUAUUCUGGUUUUAGUAUACAGAAUGGAUUAAAAGGAGGUAAGAUUAGAGGCAGGGAGAGCUUGUUAAUUUAAGCAAGAGUAAUUUAAGCAAGAGAUGAUGGUACUAAGCUAGGAUUAUAAACAUGGAAAUGGAGAGAAGUUGGAGGGUUUGAAAGAUGUUCUGCAGAUAUAAUAAAUAUGACUUGCUGAAAGCCAACUGUGGAGAAUUAGGAAGAUGGAAACACCAAAGAUGACUUCCAUGUUUCUGACUUCACAACUGAGUGCAUGGUGGUGUCCAAAAAGUGGAGGAGCAGGUUUUGAGAUAAUAAAAUUCAUUUUUACUCCUAUUGAGCUGGAGGCACUCACGGUGUAUCUAAGAACAAACAUCUAUUUGACAACUGAAUAUAUGGUGUGAUGCUCACUAUAGAGAUCUGGACGCUUCAGCACAUACAUUAUCGCUGACACACUGGGGUAGACAUAAGGCACGCUGAGUCUAUUUCAGGAAAUGUGCCUAGACUUAAAAUAGAUAUGCACAUAGAGUGGAAGGAAGAAGAGUAGAGAAAAUUGAGAAGGAAUAGUUAAGGAGGCUCCCUACCUUCUCACUCCACCUCAGGCCGGCAAGCAGAACUUACUGUUACCCCCUUGGGCUCCCACUGUUUUCCAUCUAUGCAUCUACCAAGGCAUCUGUUAUGUCAUUGAAUAUACUUAUCUUUCUCUCUCCUUCUACUAAAUUAUAAGGAUCUUAGGGCAAGGAUCAUGUCAUAUUCAUAUUUGGAUUCCCAGGACUUAACAACAGUGCUUGGCAGAUAGUUUUUCUUACGACUUUUAUUUAAUAACUAAUGAUAGAAAAAAUUCAUUGAGUACUUUCUGUGUUCUAGGCACUUUAUAUACAAGGUCUGUUAUACUUGGGAUAUAUUAAGACUCAGAAAAUUUAAAUGACUUGUCCAAGAAGCUUCCAGGAUUCAGACCUGGCUCUGUAUGAGUCCAUGCUUUUUUUUCUACUGUAUCAUACUGUCUACAACAGACUGGUGAAUGAAAUCUAUCUUUAACAAAAGAGGAAAAAAGGAAUUGCAUCUUAUAUAAGGCACAGAUACUGAUUCUUAUGCUAAACACAGUGAAGUCCUGUAGAGAAAAUCCUUGGGUUCUGUCUCCUGGGGUUACAUGCCAUGUAUGCCAGAAAGUAUAGCAAGUAAAUGGCUGCAUGUCCUAAACCAUAAGGAAGUUCAUACAGACUAAGCAAAAUGCAACUAGUUACCAUUUUGCACAGCAGCUCUUGGAAGGAUCCAGCAGUUACCACUACACCAUGGAUCUAAGACACCCUCACAAAGAUAGGCCAAACACGGCCUGCGACCUUCACCUUGUAAGUUUUGCUCAAAAUAACUUGGCCAAAAGCUGAGAAACUUUAGUACCAUCUAAACUUUUCAUUCCAAUUAUGCUUGGUCACUGCUCAGAAGGCAGCUCCCUCUCAUCCAUCAGCUUCCUCUCAAUUCUUGUCUCCAAACUGUGUACUGGAUAGCAUCCUGUCAACACACAAUGCCCUCCCUCCAACCUUUCAAGUAUGGGCUUUGGCAACCUAUUCCACUAUAAAUAAAUCCACCUAUACACUCAGCGCUUAUAAAACCUUUAAUUCCUUUGAAGUUCAUUCCAUUCAAUUUUGUCACCCUUCACCUUGCUUUGUCCCUAAUACCUACAUCAUGUUAUUCCUUUAAACCCCAAAUUCAUUUAAUCAUUUCCUAGGAGAUUUCAACAUUCAUGUGGAAUGUCGGUUGAACAUCCAACCAUCACAGUUCCAACGCCAGUUCAACCUCAUUCCCUUGGUCACACUCCCCACUUUGUUAUGGAGCGGUUCUGGUGAUUUUCAUACCCUUAUGCUUCCAUUCAUAUUACCCACAGUGCACCUGAUCAUUAACCUCAUUGAGACCUCCAUUCCUAUAAUGCCACCUCUUCUUCCAGUUUAUUCUUGAUCCCGCUUCCUUCUGUAUCUGGCCUCAAUCUCUUAAAUUGGUCAUAUGACCUGCUCUAGUGCUUUUCUUUUUCUUUUUUUUCUUUUUUUUUGAGACAAGGUCUUGCUCUGUCGUCCAAGCUGGAGUGCAGUGGCCCGAUCUUGGCUCACUGCAACCUUCACUUCCGGGGUUCAAGCCAUCCUCCCAUCUCAGCCUCCUGAGUAGCUGGGACUACAGGAGCUCACCACCACACUUGGCAAAUUUUUGUGUUUUUUGUAGAGAUGGAGUGUUGUCCAGGCUGGUCUCAAACUCUUGAGCUCAAGCAAUCCUCUUGCCUCAGCCUUCCAAAGUGUUGGGAUUACAGGCAUAAGCCACCAAGGCUGGCCUCGUCAGUGCUUUCAAUUACCCUCCAUAUUUUUCCAUCCCUGGGUUAUCUCUUCCAACUCACAUUUCUAUAUCCUGCCUGGCACAAAUGCUCUCAAUUCUCUUCUAUCCUUAUCUUUCUCCUAUAUCCAUUAUCCAAAUCACAAUUCUGGAUCAGUCCUAUAAUCUACCUGGCCCUGUAAGCCAUUCAGAUGAGAUGCUAGAAACAAUCACAAAAUCACCAUACUUUCAUGAUUUCCAAAUUCAGUUCCAUGGUUAACCCUGUUCAUUACUGUUUUUGUGUUUCAUCAGCUCUAUUCCAAACCAUCUCUAUUCUCUUCAAGCCUCUAAACUAACCUUUUGCACCCUCCUACUUCAUAAGUAAUAUCACCUAUCACUUCCUACUUCACAAAAAAUUUGGAGAACAUCUAAUAUAAAUCUCUCCUUUCACAUCUACAAACUUAUAACGAUUCCCUUCCUUCUAGUUUUGAGAAAAGGUGUGAAGGUGUGUUUUCCUUUUUUUUUUUUUUUUUGAGAUGGAGUCUCAUUGUAGUGCAGUGGCACGAUCUCGGCUCACUCCAGCCUCCACCUUCCGGGCUCAAGCAAUUCUCCUGCUUCAGCCUCCCGAGUAGAUGGGAUUACAGGCGCCUGCCACCAUGCCCGGCUAAUUUGUGUGUGUGUGGUUUCGUUUGUUUUUUUGAGAUGGAGUUUUGCUCUUGUUGCCCAGGCUGGAGUGCAAUGGUGUGAUCUUGGCUCACUGCAACCUCCGCCUCCUGGGUUCAAGCAAUUCUGCCUCAGUCUCCCAAGUGACUGGGAUUUCAGGCAUGCACCACCACGCCCGGCUAAUUUUGUAUUUUUAGUAGAGAUGGGGUUUCUCCAUGUUGGUCAGGCUGGUCUCGAACUCCUGACCACAGGUGAUGGGCCCGCCUCGGUCUCCCAAAGUGCUGGGAUUACAGGCGUGAGCCACUGUGCCCAGCCCCUAAAUCACCUAAUUCUUUAAUCUGAGCCCCAGUCUCAUUUCUCAGAUUCUGUUUAUACUAGGCUACAUAAAGCUCCUGAAUACACUAUUGUUUCACAUACCUAAAUUCAACAUUCUCUGAAGCUCUUCCUAGCCUAUCCAAACAGAGAUGAGUGCUGACUCCCAGGAGUUUAGAUAUUGCUGUUGCAUUCACUUCUUGUCUGUCUCCUUUAGGAGCUUGUGAAAAAUGUGAGAGAAAGGACAAUGUCAUGUACCCCCAGUGUGAAGUAUAGCACCUGGAGAUAGCAGGCAUUCAAUAACUACUGGAUGGAUGGAGGCAUUAUGAAGUUUGCCAAGUUUGUUAACACUACUAAAGGUUUCAAUGAAUGUAAAAACAGUGGCAGAUGGGUGGUUUUCUUGACUGUGGGAAAGGUAAAAUAGUAUAAAGUACUAGCAAGUAUAAACACAGGCAUACCUCAUUUUAUUGCAUUUUGCUUUACUGUACUUUGCAGAUACUGCAUUUUUUACAAAUUAAAGGUUUAUGGCAACCCUCCAACAAACAAGUCUGUUAAUGCCACCCCAAAGUCAUGUGCUCAUUUUGUGUCUCUGUGUCACAUUUUGGUAAUUCCUGCAAUAUUUCAAACUUUGUAUUAUUAUUAUUUCUGUUACAGUGAUCUGUGGUCAGUGAUCUUUGAUGUUACUAUUUUGACCGUUUGUGGGCACCACAAACUGUGCCCAUAUAACAUCAGCGAACUUAAUAAAUGGUGUGUGUGUUCGGACUGCUCUACCAACCGGCCAUCCCCCUAUCUUUCUCCCUCUCCUCAAACCUCCUUAUUCCCUGAGACACAAUACUGAAAUCAGGCCAAUUAAUCACCCUGCAAUGGCCUCCCAGUGUUCAAGUUAAAAGAAGACUUGUACAUCUCUCAUUGUAAAUCAAAAGCUAGAAAUGGUUAAGCUUAAUGAAGAGGCAUGUCAAAAGCCAAGACAGGCUAAAAAAGCUAGGGUCUUGUGCCAAACCAUUAAUUCUUGAAGGAAAUUAGAAGUGUUACUCCAGUAAACACCUAAGAAAACCUUAUUGCUGAUACGGAGAAAAAGUUUUAGUGGUCUGGAUAGAAAAUCAAACCAGCCACAACAUUCCCUUAGGCCAAAGCCUAAUCCAGAGCAAGGUUCUAAAUUCAAUUCUAUGAAGACUGAGAGGUAAGGAAGCUACAGAAGUUUGAAGCUAGUAGAGGUUGGUUUAUGAGGUUUAAAGAAAGAAGUCAUCUCCAUAAAUAAAAGUGCAAGGUGAAGCAGAAAGUGCUGAUGUAGAAGCUGCAGGAGUUUAUCCAGAUCCAGCUAAGACCAUUGUUAAAGGUGGCUAUACUCAGUAACAGAUUUUCAAUGUAGAUGUAACAAGCCUUUUAUUGGAAGAAGCCACCUUAGACUUUCACCGCUACAGAGAAGUCAGUGCCUGGCUUCAAAUCUUCCAAGAACCGGCUGACUUGUUAAAAGCUAAUGCUGCUGGUGACUUUAUAUUGAAGCCAAUGCUCAUUUGCCAUUCUGAAAAUCCUAGGGCCCUUAACAAUUAUGCUAAAUCUACUCUGCCUGUACUCUAUAAAUGGGACAAAGCCUGGAAGACAGCACAUCUGUUUACAGCAUGAUUUACUGAAUAUUUUAAGCCCACCAUUGAGAUCUACUGCACAAAAAGAUUCCUUUCAAAAUAUUGCUGCUCAUUAACAAUCAUCUCGUAUCCCAAGAGCUCAGACGGAGAUGGACAACGAGAUUCAUGCUGUUUUCAAGCCUGCUAACACAAUGUCCACUCUAUAGCCCAUAGACCAUGGAGCAAUUUCAACUUUCAAGUCUUAUGAUUUAAGAAAUACAUGUUGUAAGGCUAUUGCUGCCAUAAAUAGUGAUUUCUCUGAUGGAUCUGUGCAAAGUAAAUUGAAAACUUUCUGGAAAGGAUUCACUAUUCUAGAUAUCAAUAAGAACAUUCAUGAUUCAUGGGAUGAGGGCAAAAUAUCAUUUACUGGAGUUUAGAAGUUGUUUCCUGUCCUCAGAGAUGACUUUUAAGGGUUCAAGACUUCAAUGGAGGAAGUAACUGCAGAUGUGGUAGAAAUUGCAAGAUAACUAGAAUUAGGCCAGGUGUGGUGGCUCAAGCCUAUAAUCCCAGCACUUUGGGAGGCUAAAGUGGGCAGAUCGCUUGAGGCCAGGAGUUUGAGACCAGCCUGGAGUGAAACCCUGUCUCUACAAAAAAUGCAAAAAAUUAGCCAGGCAUGGUGGCGUGUACCUGUAGUCCCAGCUACUCUAGAGGCUAAAGUGGGAGGAUCACUUGGGCCCAAGAGGUAGAGGCUGCAGUGAGCUGUGAUGGUGCCACUGCACUCCAGCCCGGGGGCAGAGCAAGACCCUAUCUCAAAAAGAAAAAAGGCCAGACGUGGUGGCUCAUGCCUGUAACUCCAGCACUUUGGGAGGCCAAGGCGGGAAGAUCAUUUGAGCUCAGAAGUUCAAGACCAACCUGGGCAACAUGGCAAAAUCCUGUCUCUACUAAAAAUACAAAAAUUAGCCAGGUGUAGUGGCACGCACCUGCAGUCUUAGUUCUUGGGAGGG
rnacentral:lncRNA from 10 species